CAAAAGGUCGACGGCUGGCUCUCGUCGGGAAAGGACUUACGACCUCAGUGACCUCCAAUCAGGGACUGCGAUCUGAAGGUCGAGGUCCUCAACGAUGAACUUCCCGUGAAGGUACCUACCAAUACGCCCAUAGAUGGAGCACCGUCAGCAUGUCAAAUCUCCGAGGACGACAUGAUAUUCCUGAUGCGAAAGGUCAACUUCAACGAUUUCUUUGACGUAUCCAUGGAAACUGAUUCAUCAUUGAUCUCCCGUGAUGGAUACCAGGCCGGUGAUAUUCUGUUUUAUCUAACGGAAAGAGAAAGUGUUGUUGCUACGAGGAGUGCAUCGAUCUCACCUACUGUGGAUCCAUUACAUGGUGAAAUACUGGUCGACUGGCUUAUAGAUGUACAAGU